UACGAAGGGGGGCUAGCGUUGCUCGGAAUCACUGGGCGUAAAGGGUGCGUAGGCGGGUUUUUAAGUCAGGGGUGAAAUCCUGGAGCUCAACUCCAGAACUGCCUUUUGAUACUGAGGAUCUUGAGUUCGGGAGAGGUGAGUGGAACUGCGAGUGUAGAGGUGAAAUUCGUAGAUAUUCGCAAGAACACCAGUGGCGGAAGGCGGCUCACUGGCCCGAUACUGACGCUGAGGCACGAAAGCGUGGGGAGCAAAGCAGGAUUAGAUGACCCCGGUACGUC
rnacentral:rRNA from 1 species